AUUGAACGCUGGCGGCAGGCCUAACACAUGCAAGUCGAGCGAGCGGCGGACGGGUGAGUAAUGUAUGGGGACUGCCCGAUAGAGGGGGAUAACUACUGGAAACGGUGGAGAAUACCGCAUACUAUCAGAUAACCCCUAUGGGAUUAGCGAGUAGGUGGGGUAAAGGCUCACCUAGGCGACGAUCUCUAGCUGGCAUGAGAGGAUGAUCGCCCACCCUGGGCCUGGGACACGGCCCUGACUCCUACGGAGGCGUCAUUGGGAAAUAUUGCACAAUGGGCGCAAGCCUGAUGCAGCCAUGCCGCGUGUAUGUAGAGGGCCUUAGGUUUUUAAAGUACUUUCAGCGGGGAGGCGUUACCCGCAGAAGAAGCACCGGCUAACUCCGUGCCAGCAGCCGCGGUAAUUC
rnacentral:rRNA from 1 species